GAUCCUGGCUCAGGACGAACGCUGGCGGCGUGCUUAACACAUGCAAGUCGAACGAGAAUCUACGGAUCGAGGAUUCGUCCAAGUGAAGUAGAGGACAGUGGCGGACGGGUGAGUAACGCGUGAGGAACCUGCCUUCCAGAGGGGGACAACAGUUGGAAACGACUGCUAAUACCGCAUGACACAUUGGGGUCGCAUGGCCCUGAUGUCAAAGAUUUAUCGCUGAAAGAUGGCCCCGCG
rnacentral:rRNA from 1 species